GAGGCCUCUACCUGUGCACAGGACAGCACAACACAGAAAAACGCGGACAGACAUCCAUGGCUUGAGUGGGUUUCGAACCCACAGUCCCAGCGACCAAGCAGCACAAGGCCCACGCCUCAGACCGCACUACCACUGCAGACACGUGGUUAAAUAUGUAUGAUGAAAAUAAUUGUACUUUCCCAUAGUUUGACUCUCCUGAGCUGGGUUUGUGGUUGAGUCUUAAGGAAAAUACAGUGAUUAGUAUUUUGGUAGAAGGACCAGAAACUGUAUGCUUUUCCAUUCCUUAUCUAUUCAGAUACUCCUCUGAUGAUCCAUUCAAUAGGCUAGCAAGUUGAGAGUUUCUAUUGAAAUUAAGUUUGAAAGUGAUAAAAUGGUGUCAUUUAUCCAAUUAUUUUCAGAACACAUUCAGAAUAUGUAUUACAUGCACAUGCCACAUACCACAUUACCAUAUUUGAAGGAUAAAAUUUAGCCUGUUGAAUGUGUGUGAUAAGAGAUUGGUUUUCUCGUAAUUUGCUGUUGUAUUUGUUGCAAGUCUUAAUGAAAACUGCAAUAAUCAUGUUUGAAUGCUGGGAGAAAGCAGCAUUUGCCAUGGGUUUUUAGAGAAUGUGAUGUUUGAAUCAGACAUGCAACCACUGCACAGUAUUUGAAGCCUUAAGAAGUGAGUAAAUGGAUUUUGAAUGCACAAGGACAGACUCUGGAGGAGUGGAGUGUGCAGUUGAGUUUUGUGAGUGUAAAAUACUCUAAAUACAUCCAUCCAUGUGUAUGUCCAUCCGUGUAUACGUUUACUGUGUUGCCUUGGCACAUCAUUGCGACAAUUAAAAUGUUUAAUAGUAGAUGAAGAGAAUAACUGGUUAUUAAAAAAAACAAAUGCAUGAGACUAGGGAUUACCUGUAACUGAAUAAUUAAUGGGUAUGUUGUUUUUUUAAUUUGGUGUAUAGAAGUAAUUAAUAAAAUAUAUUAAAUGUGAUAGAGCACUUAGCAGCACUAGGUUCAGCAUGUAGACCUAUGGGAGUAUACAGUCACUAAUAUUUCCUGUAAGAAGCAAGAGGUAUAUUUUUAUAUACCAGUUUUUGUAAUUUAGUUUUUUUUAUAGAAUUUGGUGAAUAACUAACUGUUUAAUAACAUAUAGAAACAUUAAUUUGUCACUUGGUGCAAGUAAUUAUUUUCGUAUCAUCAUGCCUGUGCAUGUUACUUAAGGAUAGAAUUCAAAUUUAAGCAGCUCUAAUAGCAUAACUACAUCAUAUAUAAUUCCUAAAUGUCUUUCUCAUUGUACCAGCCAGCACAAAAUCUGUAUGGCAUUUAAAAGCUUGCUUGAUGAACGGUUAAGUAGAAAGAUAAAUCAAUUUUGAAUUUUUGAAGUUAAAAGAGUAUUUUUGGAAUGGUUUAAUGUAAAAGUGCAUUCUCACUCUUGUGAAUUAAUUUAACAAUGAAUCAGUGAAGCUGAUAAAGUGCGUGUCACAUUUCUGUCAAACCUUAAAAGCUGAUAUAUCACAUGCUUUUUUGUAAUGAAAAUAAUUGUGGAAGCAUUUAUAUUUCAACCAUUUUUUCACUGUCGAUAUCAGUGUAUAAUUUUUACUGAAAGAUUCCUGGAAAAGAAAGUUCUUUGUUUUAAAAUUGGUUCUGCCUGAUGCUCCUUUCAGGACUUUAAAUUAAUAACACUGUAUCAAGAAAUUACUUAAAAUACAAAGAACAUAUACUGUAAUUAUUUUCCUGGAAGUUUCUUUUGAAAGAAUUAUUUCUUCACACAAAUUUCUUCAUGAUUUUACAAUUUAUUAGGAAAUGUGAGCUCUCAUUCAGCUUAGAACUCUCAAUCUGUAUUUGUCAAAGAAAUGUAUAAUAAAACAGACAAAACUUUAA